rnacentral:lncRNA from 12 species
CCUGUGAGCGCGGUGUUUCCUCCAGUUAAGGGAAACAUUUAUAUUCUCUCCGGCCCGCGCUCCGGGGCGCCCCGGGAGCCCCCGCGCCCCCCCCCGGAGCCCCCCCCGCGCCCCCCCGCGCCCCCCGCCGCAGCCUCGGGGGCCCCCUGCGCCCGGCCCGGGCGCUCGUUCCCGCGGGGGGGCCUCCCCGCCGGCUCCCCGGGAAGUAGGAAUUCCUGACGCGGCCGGAGGGGGAGGGGAGCGCGGGCGUCCUGACGGGAUUCGAGGAAGCCCCGCGGAGAUGAUUUAGGGGCCGCGAUAAUUCACUCAAUAGGGGCCUGGGGCGGCUCGCGGGCGCGGGCGGGCGGCAAGUGCGGCCGCCUCGAAAGGGCGCGCGGCGAGGUGGGGAGCGGCCCCCUCAGCGACAUUCCAGAGCUUUCAGCAGGAGCGAGCCGUGCACGGCCGUACUCUUUCAUCCGCCCGCUGUGGUGGCCUUUAGCUUCCUCUGCGUGAAUAUUAAAUUUGAGAUGGCGCCGCAGCAACACGUUUUGGAGAGUGUUCUUUGGGCUGUUAUUUGUAUGGUUGGUUUAGCUUCUCGUUCGUUAACCUUUUAAAAUGAAUAUCGUUGAAAAUGGAUAACUGUGCAACCGGAACUCGCAAAGAUUAGGGGAAAUAUAAUGCUUUGGGACAGGUUGUUACUAAACCAGGUAGAGGACGGAAGUUUUUAUUGAUCAAAACACAAAAGGCAUAGAGAGCGAGUCAGUAAAUGGCGAAUUACGCUGACAAUUCCCAAUUUUCAUGCAGAUUUGGUGAAGCUGCCCCAUUCAAAGCCACCACCGGCAGCCUGAAUGAGACCACAGAGCGGGGAACACAGAUGGGACUUGGCCACAGACACCCUGAAAAGUCAAACUCGCAUCGGGGAAAAUACUUCCAGAGAGUGUUUUCUUGGACAGAGAUAGGAUGUAGUAGAAAGCCAGAGAGCAAAGAUGUUCCAAGACAUGGGAAAAAAAAAGGACCCUCUGCCUCACAUUGUCGAAAACACCAGCAGCAGGGAACAACUUUGUCUCCUUUGGCCUGCAAGGACUCCCUGCGGCUCUGACCGGCUUUUCUUCUAGAGAAAACCGCACGAGGUGGGCCCUGGCUCCCGUAAUCAGGCUCCCCUCCAGCUCGCUCAUGCCAGGCCAAAUGCCCAGGCCCCCUCCCCUGUGCUGGGCUUCCAAGGCAUAUCCCCUAACUGUUGAGGUCUCUGCAAUUGCUUUUCUUUGCAGCCUACCAAGAACACAACAGGAUGGCUUUUUGUCAUGUCUCCUCUAAUAUCCAUCUAUUUAAAUAGGACUUAAAAAAUGCAGAGAGAGAAGGACUAGUCAGGUGCCGAGACAUUGAUAUUGAUACCAAGGUAUUGAUAUUGUACCAAGAAUACAUCUUCAAAUUCUCCAACAAAAGGUAAACAGGUGAACAACAGCUGCACGUUUCCAGGCCUUUUUGGGGGGCUCCGCUAGACCCCAUAGUCUUGAGGGUAGGAACCUGGUGCUGUGUGUGUCGCUGUGCCCAGCUUUGAGCCCAGGACCUACCGUCAUCAGCAGCCAGCAAGCCACUGUGGAACUUAACCAAGUUACUGGUCACACCACCCAUCUCAGCCUCGUUCUUUAGCUGGAGGUCUCUGGACAGUCACCAGCUCAGAAUCGCAGUCUCUCAGUGCCAGAGCGGGGCUUGGAACAUUCUAGUUCAGCCUUCACAUCUUAGAGAGAGUCACUGAGGUCUUGAAGGAAGCCAUGCCUCAAGAGGUCAGUACCCGUAGCCAUGGACUCAGGGGUGAAAUCACAGGUACUUAUUUCUGUUCCUACAAAGAAGGGACCCAUGAUGGACAAGAAGAAGAAAAACCAGGAGGAGGAAGAGAUUUUAGUUGAUAGCUUAUAGUAAUAAGCAGCUAGCUGUGUGUGGUGUGAGCUCAAAAAUCAACUAUAAACAUUCACAGCUUAAUCCUCCAAGUGCCAGCAUGUCAUAACAAUACAUUUUCUUUUUUCAAGCAGGGUUUAUUUUUUUCAGUGUGAGAUGGAGACAGUAAGACCCAGGAGACAGUGAGUGAGUUGUGGCAUUUA